rnacentral:rRNA from 1 species
CGGGGGGAGCAAGCGUUGUUCGGAUUUACUGGGCGUAAAGGGCGUGUAGGCGGCCACCGCAAGUCGACUGUGAAAUCUCCGGGCUUAACCCGGAAAGGUCAGCCGAUACUGCGGGGCUAGAGUGCAGAAGGGGCAACUGGAAUUCUCGGUGUAGCGGUGAAAUGCGUAGAUAUCGAGAGGAACACCUGCGGCGAAGGCGGGUUGCUGGGCUGACACUGACGCUGAUGCGCGAAAGCUAGGGGAGCGAACGGGAUUAGAUACCCCGGUAGUCCUAGCCUUAAACGAUGAAUGCUUGGUGUCUGGGGUUUUAUAGUCCCCGGGUGCCGUCGCUAACGCUUUAAGCAUUCCGCCUGGGGAGUACGGUCGCAAGACUG